UACGUAGGUGACCAGCGUUGUCCGGAUUUACUGGGCGUAAAGAGCGCGCAGGCGGUCGUUCAAGUCGAGUGUGAAAGCCCCCGGCUCAACUGGGGAGGGUCAUUCGAUACUGAUCGACUUGAAGGCAGGAGAGGGAAGCGGAAUUCCCGGUGUAGUGGUGAAAUGCGUAGAUAUCGGGAGGAACACCAGUGGCGAAGGCGGCUUCCUGGCCUGUUCUUGACGCUGAGGCGCGAAAGCUAGGGGAGCAAACGGGAUUAGAAACCGGGUAGUCC
rnacentral:rRNA from 1 species